rnacentral:lncRNA from 1 species
GCCAGGGUAAAGCUGCUGGCUGAAAAGCAAAAAUGUUUCCAGAAUAAGAAGAGUUCUGCAGGCCUAAACAUUUUUAUUUGGAAGGAAGAACAGAAGUGGAGGUGAUGCCAAAUGUGAGUUUGCCAAAAACUGCAGUCUUUCAUCCAGGUUCCCCUCUCCUUCCCACAACAUUUAGUUCCUGAAAAUCAUGUUGUGAUGUUUCUCCUUAUCUUCCUAGAACAGCCCAUAAUGUCUAGCGGGAUGAGGCAAGCAAAGGCCAACAUUGUGCAUCCCAGGAGCUAACUUUUACAGGAAGAGAGGGAACUGGAUGGUAGGUUGUCACUUGUGUUGGGACCAUAUCUAGUUUUUGCCUCCCGCCUCGUGCUUUUUAGUGGAACUUACUUCCAAGUCAAACUGCUUAGGACUGCGUUUCUUAACCUACAUGACAAUGUACAAAAGGAAAUCCUUCAACUUUUUACAAGCAACAAAAAGCUUCCCACUAAACAACUGUUGACAGGAUUGAUGCCACUAUUAGGCAGGACCAGUCCAAGCAAUUUUGCUGCCUGAGGCAAGGGCAAGAUGGUAUCCCCAUUUAAGAUCAGAAGCUGACUAGAUUUAUUUUGAGUUUGAGUUUUAUUUUGACACUGGUGAUAGAGUAAGUGUCAACUACCAGUCUUGCUGGCUUUAUACAUGGAAUGAGGGAAGGCACCAUCUUGUCCGUCACCUCAGGCAGAAAAAUGUCUUGCGCUGGCCCUGACUGCUUCCAAUGGUGCACAAUGAUGCAGACGGCUAAAUAAAAGCAUGAUGUCUUCCAUCUGCUGCUGACAUCUGUGAGAAAGAAGAAGUGCCUGUUCUUGAAGAAGUUUCUUUUCCCUAUAUAAUUCCAAAUCCCCAGUCCUUUUUAAAAAAAAUAAUAGUAUUGCUUUUCUUCUUGCUCCAUAGCAAAAUAAGCAGAAGCACUGAAAUAUGUUGUGAAAUACCAGGAAGGAACUUGUAUGAGAUAGUAUUUCACAAGUUGAUGGAAACAUCAAAAGGGGAACUUGGUAUUGGUUAAAUUAAAAUGCAGUGGUACCUCUGGUUAAGAACUUAAUUCAUUCCAGAGGUCCAUUCUUAACCUGAAAUGGUUCUUAACCUGAGGCGUGCUUUCGCUAAUGGGGGCUUCUGCUGCCGCUGUGCCACUGGCACACGAUUUCCGUUCUUAUCCAGGGGCAAAGUUCUUAACCUGGAGCAACCACUUCCUGGUUAGCGGAGUUUGUAACCCGAAGCGUCUGUAACCCAAGGUACCACUGCACAUUAGAUCAUUCUGCUAUAGGGAGCUAGGCGAGUGUGGUGGCCAAGUGAAUAAUUUCUCUGUACAAAAAUCAGAUUUGAAUCACCAUUGAGCCAAAAAGCUCACUGGCUGAUCUUGGACAAUCACUAUGUAUCAGUCCAGAGUACAGUGGUACCUCGGGUUACAUACCCUUCAGGUUACAGACUCCGCUAACCCAGAAAUAGUACCUCGGGUUAAGAACUUUGCUUCAGGAUGAGAACAGAAAUUGUGUGGCGGCGCUGCGGCAGCGGGAGGCCCCAUUAGCUGAAGUGGUGCUUCAGGUUAAGUACAGUUUCAGGUUAAGAACGGACCUCCGGAACGAAUUAAGUACUUGACCCGAGGUACCACUGUGCCUCUGAGGGUUGCUGUGAGGAAUGUCCCACAUGACUUUUUGUCAUUUUGUUUCUUCCUAUUAUUCCCCUCCAUAUCCAGCCUUUCGGUUUGGUGCUUCAGCACACCAUAUAAUGUCAGAAAUUAGUCACAGACCCCUCAAGCAAUUGCUUCUCAUGAGUAAGCAGACUCUACUAACUAGGUAAUGUCUGACACGAUAUCUCGUACCUAAACCAUUGUGACAAGAUCCAGCCGUUUCUUGAAAAAACAAAGGAGGAGGUUUCAUCCCAGGGGGAAAAAAAACCUGUGACCGUAAUUGUGUUAUAUUAAAACAAAGGUCUCAGAGAACCUGUGGGCUUCACCUGCUAAGUACACUCAGAUUUCACACUACUUUUAACUGCUAUAUGAAAGCAGUAAUUGAUGUGGGGAGGCAAAAAUUGGUUUGAAGAUGAAAUAGCAAAACACUGUCUCUGUUGAUGAUUCAGAGCUAAGGUUUGCAACAUGCACCACAUGAUGCUCUAAACAAAACCCUUGGCACACACUAAGGCUCUGACCGCUCCCAUUUUUUACCAGGUAUUUUUGGUUUUGUGCUACCUGCUUCUUCUUUUCUUUUUUCUUUUGGUCUGUGUUUCAAUCGGCUUGGAGUUUCUGCGUUUUCACUGUUGUUUGUGGCAGUGGUGGUCUGAGGUAACCACUAUUUUCCUGUAAAAUCUGUAUUAUUUUAUUACCCCCCCCCAAAAAAAAGUUUCUUAAAUUUCCAAAUAUGCUCCUGGGCCCCCAACAGUUGUUUGGCUUAAAGCCUUAAAAACGCAAAUGACUACAAACAAACCUGGAGAACUCAGAGUAGAACUCUCUUAAUGACUCAUGACUGAUUCAUACAGUGUGUCACUUCCCCUUAGCUUGUUGCCAAAAGAAUGUUUCCUACCGCAUCUUUACUAUUAUAUGGCCACCCUGUUAUUGACUUCAUAACUCCAUUCCAGCUGGAGAGACCAAAGCAGGAGAAAGGAAAAAAGUCAGAUAGCACUACACAUUUGUUUAGGAAAAUGUGGAUGUCAGAAGCUGCUUUAUACUGAGCUUUAUACUCAUUGAUCUAUCUAGCCCAACUUUGUCUACAUUGGCUGGCAGUGACUUUCCAGGGUUUCAAACAGGGGCCUUUCCUCAUCCUCCCUGGAGAUGCUGAGGAACAUGCAGAGCACAUGCUCUACCACUGAGCUAUGAACCUCGUCCCCAUCCCAUGUUUUAAGUUUGGACAUCUCUUUGCAGCCAUGACAAUGCUAUCAUCUGGGCUGGGAGAAAGGGGGUCUUGUGAAUUCUGCUUUUUCCUUGCCACAUCUUUGGUUCAUUGAGUUUUUGCUCCUCGCACUGGUGGGAUUUCCCCAGCCACAACUUCCCACUGGUAAAGGCUUUUGCUAUGCUGGCAUAGAUAUUUUUCUGAUUGUAUGGCUCCAUGCAGUUCUAACAAAGGAAGACUGAGAAGCAAGCUAAUCAGGAUAGGCUUGCUGUGUUGCACACUUCUAAGAGAGCGAGUUAAGCAGAUGCUUAGACUUCUCUCUUUGAAAUCAGCUGGACUUCAAAGUGCUCAGCUUCAUCUGGACUGUGACCAGUGACUCUCUUCAUCAGAUGGGGCUUAACUUUGGAAUGUUUGCUGUCUCCAUUCCAUGGAUUAGAGCACAGAGUAUUUUUGAUAUUUGUGUAACUGGGUAGAAAGGCAGACGGACAGAUAUUACCUUGUAUUAGUAAAGUUGUUGCAUCCAUGAUGCAAACUCAGGGAUAGGGAACCAGUGGCUUUCCAGGGGUUGUUGGACUCCUGCUCCUGUCAGCUGUAGCCUUCAUGGCUGAGGGGAGUUCUGGUCCAACAACAUAUGCCGGGCCACAGUUUCACCACCCCUAGAAGAAACUAUGUACAUUAGCACACAUCAAAAUCAGAGCUAUGUGAAAGGUUCAGAAGGAUGUUUCCUUAUUUUAGGAAAAGCUCAGGCCUUGAAGUCUAAUGAGAGAAAUUGUAUAUAUUUUUCAUAUUCCAGUGUCUAUAUCUGCAGUUCUAUAUCCUUGAACCCCCUAGUUAUUUAGGAAAUAUACCGGUAAUUCAUUUUUUAAAACUUUAAAAGCCUGAAUAAAGUAAGUCUUUUCCUUUUAAAAAAGCCCUUGACUCAUAAGCAAAUGAAGUUUUUACUCAGCACCAAAUGCUUCCUAAAUUGUCAGAUUGUAUAGACCAGGGGUCGCCAAUCUUUAGGAGACAGUAGGCACAUUUGGAAGUUUGAGUACCAGUCACAAAAUGGCUGCUUUGAGGGUGACAUAGCAUAAAAUGGCAGCCACAUUUAUGAGCAUGAAAACAGAGGGGACCACAAAAAGUACCGAUAUGCCCUCAUUCACAUGCAGAUGCAUUUUUAUGUAGAUUGGAGCCCUUUUUGGUCCACCUUUCCUAAGUAAUGCAUUUUCUCUGCGUGUUCUCUCUCUCUCUGUGUGUGUGUGAUGUACAGUUGGCACCCUCAUAUGUUUACCAAAUCCAACCUAGUUCUCUAACCAUGAUUUAUUUGGGAUUGGCAAACCAUGAUCUAUCACACCACCAUCCCCAGCUGGUUUGUGCACCCCGAAACUUGAAAACAUAGCAAAUUAAAGGUUGCCUGAAAAAUAUCUCAAUUUCGACCUUUUACAAAAGUCUGCCCUUGAUUCCUAAACAAAUCACAACCCAAAAUUAAAAGUGUGCCUGCUUAUUUUUAAAGGCUAACCCAUCAGCAAAACUAUUUUCUUUCUACGUAGCCUGCAUUAUCACAGUCCAGAUACAGGCCAAAGAGUAUUUUCUUCUCAACAGCUGUUGCUGGCUGCUAUGUUGCCUUGUAUCUUGACAUUCAGUGUCUCCACUUCCCACAUGAUUUGCCAGGGUUUCACAUCAACACAUAAGCCUCCAUGCACAUUUAUCAUGCAACACUGAAUAUCAAUCAGUAGUACCAUUCAGCUGUGAGAGAUUCUAUUACUAUCACUCUCUGAAAUAUGCAUUAAUGCUAACUGCCAUUCUGAAUAGCUCGGGUAGACUUUCCACUAGGAGAGGGAGUGGGGAGUGGGAAGCCACUUUUUAAAAGGGUGAUAUACUGCAUAAAUAUCUUGCAUAUGUUUUGCAUUGCUGCACCACUUUCAGCCUUUACACAAAAUAAAGCAACUGAGGGGAGCGUCAUUCAUUCACACAGCAUGAUCUCCCCAAUAUUAACUAUGAUUCCUAUAGGGAACCUUUUCAGAAUAACUGGUCAAAGUUAAGUAUAUUGGGUUGGAUGCCGACAAAGCCAGUUGCACUCAGUGCCUAUUGAAAUCAACAGAAUGGCACCUCAUUGUGGUGUCCCAAGAGCAUGGUCUGAAGGCACAUAAAUCCCCCACCUUGCUGAGGCUAAGCAGAUCUGGAUCUAAUCAGUGCCUGAAUAGGAACCCUGUGAGCACUGCGUCAAUUGCGGGGGGAGGGGGCGGUAUUCUUUCACCAGGAUCAAUCCUAAUGGAGUUAUUAGCCAGCAAAUGGGUUGGCUGAUUCAGGCUAUAUACCCAAGGCCUAUGCCAAAUCUGACUUACAUCUGUAAUCAAUAGAGUUGUGGCCAUUUCUAUCCCAAGUUGGGUGUCAUGUUUUUCCUACUGCAUACACAUGGUUAAGCCCCUCCCUCAGUAACCACUCGCCUCCUGUGCUUUGGCCCAUUUCACCCAUGUUCAUUUCUCAUGGCCUUCGGUCAUUUCACAUUAGUUCCUUUUAGUUUUCCUGCAGAACUUAGUUGAUUUCAAGAUAGGUUCUUGAGGAAGUUUUCUUUCAUUUUCCCAGGGCAAUGAAACCCUCCAGCAAGCAGACAUUACUGUAGGAUUUAGGGAAGAUUAAACUUUUACUAGCCUGCCAAAAAGGAAUAAUUAAAGUAACCAGGGUCUGCUUAUGUAAACAGCUGUCACUUCACUUUAACUGGGGCUUUUGCCUUUUACCAGUGUCAAACAGAAUAAGCUUUCACAAGACUCGGCUUUCAAGAGGCUCUCCUAAGCAACAUUAUCUCUUAAGAAACAUUAUCUUUUCUGAAGUGUUAAUAGAACAUGCUGAGCUACUGCAGAGUGGACAUCAUCCAGGAUGUGAUUCUAAAAGGGUUGGGAUUGUUAUAGUACACAUACACACACACACACACACACACACACACACACACACACAGCACAGCAAAUGUAGUAGCUCUGUUGCCAAAAGGUUCUAACCUCAGCAAAUGUCUUUGCUUCCUUCCUGCAUGGAUAAGUUGGGUUUCAACUUUCAUAAACACACAUCAAGCUGCUUUAUAAUGAAUCAGAUCAUGGAUGCAUCUAGCCCAGAACUUCCUACUCUUACUGCCACUGGGUCUCCAGCGUCUCAGGUGAGGUGCUCUUUCACAGCUCUGGUACCUGAGAUGCUUUUAACUGGAGAUUCCUGUGAACCUGGGACCUUCUGUAUGCAAAUCAGGUGCUCCUCAGGAGAAGAAAAGGCUAAGGAGCAAACCUGACAUACCUAUGGAGUGGAGUCCCUAUUAUAGUUGGCUGGCGUCUUGUACGCCUCCUUCCGGCAACUCCUGCAGCCAAGCUGAUCCCAAAUGUAUUGCUAUGAUUUCCUUUGGACCACAUCAGGGAGGCUGAGAGGGAGGGUCUUGUUGUCCGCCCAAGACCUCCAUACACACUGCCCAGUCUUGCACCCUAGAGAGGUCAUUUCGGUGCUGCUAAUGGAGCAAAACAACACAGUUUGACUUCGCCCCCACAGGCGCACUCCAUUGUCUCUCGAGAAUGAUAGAUGCCAGCACACAGCACACACAAUACUGCAAAAUUGUGCUCAAGCAUUUGUGCUUAAGUCGCCUUCCUAAGAAUUCUUGCAGACAAGCAUCUAGGAAGAUGAAGCUUGCCAUUUUGUAACAUGCAACUGGCUUAUCCAGUUCAUCACCCCAUCUGCGAAUGGAAUUGGUAGCAAAUAGCCUAGAGGAAGCUUGAUGAGUGGUUUUGACAAAGCCAGAACUUUCUAAUCUAUACAAAACUAGAGGAAGGGUUUUAAUUUAUCUAGUUCCCAGUUCUUGCUUUCUCUCAAUGCUUUCAGGUAGCUAGAUGAACAGCAGAACAGAAAGCAAUUCUGCCACACAUUUCAAAACAUGUUGAGAAUCAGUAGAGAUGCAAAGUCUAUCCCAACGGCUGGAGAUGGCGACAGCACUAAAAUCACAAUAAUGGUUGCUGAUCCAAAGAGAGAGAGAGAGAGAGAGGAAAGGAAAGGAAAACCAUUUUUCUCAGUAUUAAUUUGCCUUUCCCCUAGAAUUACUUGGGAAUUGUUUGUCUAAACCUUGUGGGUGACAUUGAGUAGAACCUAAGGAGAUUUUUAUUUUUGCUCCAGGGCAAGGUCAGAUGGUGGAGGAGUGUUAGCUUUUUCCUUUUCUGUUCUGCUCACAAAGUGUGUUCUGUCACUCCAGAUGCUGCUCAGAGCAAAUUGUGCAGACAUGUCUAUUGGGCUCAUUCUGAGGUUACGUCCUGUUGUGUCGUUGCUUUUUAAAUGCUCAGACAGCUGAGCUCAAAACAAUAGUGUUAUCUUAUGACCCAGUGCUAUAAGAGGCUGCAAAAGCCAGUAAGUCUAUAUAGGACCUGCCUGCAAACACUCUUGAGGCAUUGCACUGGGAGGGCCAGCUAGCCAGUUGCAUCAGUGCUGCUUUAGUUUCGCCAAUAGCCUCACAGCUGCCAUGCACCAUGGUUUUAUAAGAAUGAAUAUCAUGCUUAAUGGAUAGAUGUGACUGGAUUGUUCCAGGAGUGCAGGGCAGAAUGGUUCUGUUAUUCUGGAGGCAGCCAUUGUGGUGCCUUCCAUAAACUCCAGCCAGCUUAGCUAAUGGCCAAGGAUGAUGAGAGUUGUAGUAUUUUGACUCCCAUGAAGCGAACUGUAACUGGAUUUUAAACAGACAGGCAGCAGCAGAAAAUCACAUUUCCGUACUUGUGUGGCAUCUUAGAUGCUACUGCAACUAUUGUAUCAGAAGCCAUUUUACGUGCUUCUGAUCAGUGGCAUGUGGUCGGUGGACUAGGGGGGCUAGACUAGUCCUAUGUUCCCCUGGUGCCUCCUUCCCAAAGCCUGGGCAGCUUCUGCUCGGCUUAGGGAGGGAGGCGCAAUGCUCUGACAGGUCCAAGAACCCUCCAGCCACCUUCCCAAAGCCCGCCAAGCUUUGGGAAGGAGGCAGGAGGGUUCCAGCAUCCUGUCAAAAACCCGGCACCUCUUUCCCAGAGCCUGGGAAGCUUCUGCCUGGUUUAGGAAGGGAAGUGCAGUGCUCAUGUAUGCAACAUCACUCCACCCCCCCCAUUGCCCUUGCAAGCUGGUGCCUCUGGCCUCAAGUGUUCCCCUACAAGAAAUUUCACUGCAUGCCACCACUUCUGCUAAGGAUGCUUGGUACCAAAAUGACAUCACGAAUGCAGCUGUAAUGCAUGGCAGUUUAUAUGACCCUUGUUUGCAGGCAUUUGAUGAAUUGCCAAAAUAUAGUCCUUCACUGAGCACCAAACCUGGUUCCUGCGUGGUGCAGAAGGGCAAAGACGAGUCUGGAGAUCAGGUCUCUUGAUUGCUCAGAUCAGUGAAGAAUUUUGACGCAGAAGCUUUUAUAAGGCUCAAAUGCUAUUAGAUGAUCAACUGAUAUGGGUUACCUCCCUGCAGCUCUACUUUGACCAGAGUAAGGUGGUGGGACAAAUGUUAAAUCCCCAGUUUCCACUUCUCAGAUCACGGCAGGUUUGGGAUCCUAUUUCUCUUGAUCAUUCUAUGACCUGGGUUUUGCAACCCAGCUCCCAGAGAUGACCCCCCCUUUCUUUUUAAAGAGAAAUGCCAAAGUUUAUACCUGCCUGGAACUUAUGCUUUCCAACAUGGAAGUCUUCUUUCCUAAUGUCAGAUGUAAGGAAUUGGCUAUGGUUAUUCAGCGGUGAGAUAAACUUCUGCAUAUGGUUGGAGGGCUUCCAUGCUUCCCUUUGUUGUUACUUCGUAUGUCACAAGGCUAAGGGAGGAGCACUAUACCAAGUUAGAUCUUAAGUCCAUUUAGCUCAAUAUUGUCUUUACUGGCUAAUGGUAGAUCUCUGGGUUUUCAGAUGGGUCUCAUUUUCAUCCGUAAUGGAGGAUGCGAUGGGCUCAUUUGCAUACAAAGCAUAUGCUCUACUGCUGCAUCCGUUCCCCAGUAAUUAAGAUUCCCCAGUAAUUGAGGUUAUUGUAUAUCCUAACUUUCCAACCAAAUGUUCAAAGCAACUCACAGCAAAGCAUCAAAAUGCAAUAAAAAUAACCCAAACAAGUGCAAAUCUGCCAAUUCCAAUAUUCAAAUGGUUUUCCAAUGGGAAGACUUCCAAAUACCUGCGACUUCACUGAGGUUUCUUGCAGGUUACCACUUUCUACAAUGUAUUUCAGAGAGGAGACUCGUCCUUGGAGAGGGAAUUAGCAAAAGAGCUUCUUCACAGAAGGAAAUGGAUAGUGCUGAAUGGCAUAUGGUCAAUGACAUAAUAGUAGUGGUUAGCUGAAAAACAAGAAUGUCCUCUUCAGUCAUGAUCAGUGGGGAUUUUUUAAAAAAAGUUUUUUAUUAAAUAUUUUCUGGGGUUACAAAAGUACAUACACUGUCUCUAAAGCAACUCAGUGUUGAAUGCACUGGAGGGCUGGUGGUUGACUAGUGACGGUCUGCCAAUGACUCAUUCUGGAGGAACAAGUAGAGAAAGCAUCAAUGAAAAGCAAGACUGGAGAACCUUCUUCAGCCCCAGGAUCAUAUUCAUUCAUGUCUAACCUUCUGGGGGCCACUUACAGGUUAUGGGUGGGGCUACAGCCCCAAAAUAGGUGGGACCAAAACAGAAGUGGGAAGGGCACUCCAUACACCCACUCUCACAUGAACAUAUCCAUUCAUACAUAUCCACCCAUCCCGCUGGUGUAAAUGGAAAGAUUUCCCCCCAAACCUAACAGCUGAAGGGGUUGGCAUCAGACAAGGGAAGACUGAGAGGAAAAUGUGUGGGGCAGAGAAGGCCCUUUGGAAUACAUGGAGACCUCUGGAGGUUCCCUAUACAGUGGUACCUCAGUUUUCGAACAUAAUCUGUUCCGGAAGAUCGUUUGAGUUCCGAAACAUUCGAAAACCGAAAACUCAAUAUGGAAGCCUCAAAACGUAUGGAAAACUCAAACAGGAAGCCUCCUUGGAAGUUUGACUUCUGAGGCAUGUUCAAAAAUGGAAGCAUUUAUUUCUGGGUUUAUGGCAUUAAGUUCCGAAAAGUUUGUCAACGGAGAUGUUCGAAAACCGAUGUACCACUGUAUCUGAUGUAAAGAAAUGUAUAUAAAUUCUGGUGCGAUUCAUUUCUCAGAAAAUGAUGGUAUAUGUCAAGCACAUUCAUUUGGGUAGCCAUCACUGUGAAAAACAAACACAUUCAAUUUACUAAGAACAGGGACUUCUGGGUUAGCGCCUCCGGCAAUGGCGGAUUUCCUCUGAUCGGGAGGAAUCCGCUUCAUGAGAACUAGGGUCUGGACCGCCGCGGCGAGGCGGAGACCCACCAAAAACCACAGGCGGGAGAAGCUUGUGGACGUGGGAUUCGGCUGGCACCUUUUGCACCUCCCCUACUCGCGGGGAAACCCGGUUUCGGGGAUCCAGAGCGACGUGGGGUGAAUGGCGCGGUGCUUCGAAUCGACUGCUCUUUUCACGGAGUGAAGCCGCAUUGCUGUUGCCGGAGAGCGCUGACUUUUUCCUGUGGACAAUUGGAUUUUAAACAACUGCCCGUGAGUAGAACGGAAAAUUGGACUAUGAAACUUUUUAAUUUGGCACCGAAGCGGGAAGGUCUAAACAGGAAGUCCGCCUUCCGCUUUUGUAAAUAGAUUGAAGCAAAGACAUUGCAAGCUAGAGUCUGGAAAGUCGUUUGUAAAGGACUAAAUUUCCAUCAGUUAAAAUUACUAAACCCCCCUUGGAAGCAGGAGAAGAGGGGGGAAAUUUUAGACUGUUUAAGCCUGCAGAAGAGAGAGUAAAGAAAGAUAAAUUUCCACUGUCUUGAAGCUGGGAGUGGGGUGUCAGAGACAGACGCUUUGGGGAAGUUCAUUGACUGUGGAUAAAACGUUUUUGACAGAUAGUUAAAAAAGAAAUAUAUUGAUUCCAAUGUUCCCUUUUGACUUAAAAGGAACAAAAUAUCUGAAAAACGAAAGGAACUUUGUUGCUAGAUCUGCUUUUAAAAAGACGGAUACAAAUAGAAAUUGUUUCCUUUAGAGGGAGCUUGUGAAACUGUUGCUAGAGUCAAUCUGAGGAACUCUACAGCUGUAGAGAUUAAAGAUCGUGAGACCAGACAUUGACCUUGAACUAGAAUGUGCCCAGAAGAAGCUUUAGUGCUUGCUUUUUGCAAGACAAGCGCUUUACUGGAACAGCUACAUGAGAAGAUGGCUUUGAUGACUGUUGCAGUUGGCAAUUUUGGACAAACAGUGAAUACCUAUAUAGAAACCACUCAGGAAUUAAUCCAGGAAUGUGCUUUGACAGAGCAAGUGGUGAAGAAGAUAAAGGAGGAGGUUGUUGCUGAACCUCAAGUAAUAGAAAUGGAGAGAGCUGCGGCCUUGCAGGAACAUAAGUUGUUGUUUCUGACGACUGAACCUGGAGAAAGUCAGAUUUGGAGAGAUGGAGUACUGUUUGGUCUGGAGAUGGGAAGUUGGAUAGAUCCCCCUAUGCAGGGAUGUUUUGACUUUUCGGAUCUGGCUUUGGGCCAGGGGGAGUUUGGAGUUGUGGGGGCCCUUAACCUUGGAGGGACUUUGAAACAUGCUCUCAAAUAUCUUUUGGAUUUCAGUGUCAACUAUGGAGAAUGGGCUGACCUGUUGAGAAGGGACAAAGAUCUUGUCAAGUUGGAGUCUCCCCGAGAGAAAGGAAGGAAAUUAAGAAUAAGAGCAGCAGAAGAUAAAGUAAAGGGCAGGUAUAAACAUGAAGAAGACCUGCAGAAGGGACAUGGAAAAGGCUUAAGAGCCUCGGAUAGCAGGUCACCAGGUUGAUGGACUAGAUGGACGGGAUAGAAAGGACUGACAAAACCCGAGACCAGGAAGAAGACGAUGGAUGAAGAUUGGAAGAAAUUGUUAAAAAUUCAUUUAGAAAAUCAUUGUAAAAUUAAUGAGUAUUAGAAAAAUGUUGGAAUGAAAUUAUUUGGCUUUAGUAGAAAUGUUAAAAAGAAUUAUGUAUAAAUAUGUUAUGUUAAAAAGAAUUAUGUAUAAAUAAGUUUUAAGUUUUAAGCUUUAGGGCUUUUUAUGGUAAGAUAAGGUUAAAAUAAAUUAAGGUAAUUUAAUGACAGAAUAUAGUGAAAGAUGGAAAGGAUUUGCUGAGAUAAUUAAUAACUAGAAUACAAAAAAGGGAGGUGUGAGGAGGUCGAUGGAACAAGUUAACGAAAGAUAAAGAUUUGGGAAUAUUGGAUUUGUUUUUAAUUUUUUGUUUAUUUUUGUCUUUGAUUUUGAUGUCUUAUGUGUUUUGUUUUUUCUUUGAUUUUUGUUUUUAUUGACUUGUAUUUGUUUAAUUUCUCUUUUUGUCUACCUUUUUUCCUUUUUAUUUUUUAUUUUUUUCCCCUUUCUCUCUCUGUAAUUUUAAAUUCUCAAUAAAUAUCAUUUAAAAAAAAACAAAAAACCCCCACGAAUUUACUAAGAACAGGAACUGUUGGAGGAAAGCAGUUACGGUAUAUUUAAAGAACAAUCUACCAAGAUGUUCCCCUGCACAUUCUCCAUUGAACUGAUUGGAAGCUCUACAAGAGCACUGCCCCAUGCCCUCCAAUAUUUUCAUCCCCCCAAUUGGCACUCUGGAACAUGUCAGAAGAAUCCGGAAGGUGUUUUGGUACAAACCUAAUGAUUAUUGACAGAAUGAGUGUCUUUUGGUUCAGUGAUCUGGCGCGAGGAUUUUCGCCAGAGCACCAGUCCAGAAAAUUAGAAGUUCCAGGAUGUAAACAGAAGCCAGGAAUGGCUUCUGUGAUUCUGGGAUUUCCCACUUAAAAUGGGUCAGUUGUGGAGUUUGCUGUCCUGGUAUAUACUGCCAUGAUCUAAUGUGAAAAUGAAGAACACCAGGGAUUUUUUUUCCAACCGGAGCUCAGCUCCAGCACCUCUCAGGUGGGCACCAUUGCCAUUCUAAGAGAACAAGGGCAAAGUUCAUUGAGAAUGGCACCUCUUUUUCUGGAAGAAUAGCACUGGGAGAACACCAUCCUAAAAGGGGCAUUCCAUGUUCUCACAAGGGAUGGAAGACUUCUCCUAAAAUGAUGUCUCCCAAUUCGCACACGUGCAUCAUCUAAGGACAAAGGAAGGGUGUUCCUUGUGUUUCAGAACUAUCAUUUUAUUCACAUGCAGAUUUAAUAAAUUGCCUGAUUGUAGGGAUUUACAUCUUACCCUUCAAUCAGACUGGCAGGAUGACUUACAAAAUGCAAAACUCAAUUAAAUAAGUUUAAAACAUAACACACAAAAAGUAACAGAAUCUGUGACAGGGUGGGGAGCCUCCAGCCCUCCAACCCCCAUGAGCCUCAGUCAGCAUGGGCAAUGGUCAGGGAUGAUGGGAGUUGUAGUUCAGCGACAUCUGGAGGCCACCAUGUUGGCUGCGCAUGGUUUACAUCUGAAAUGACAAAUAGCACAUAAAUAGAACUUAAUUUUCAAAUUUUUCAAAAUUCAAAUUUUCAAAUUUAAUUUCAAAUUUAACAAAUAGAACUUAAUUUUCACUCGAAUUUGCAAUGUUUUGGGAAACCAGUAUUAUGUAUUAUGACUUAACGUAUUUCACAAGGAUUGCUGCUAACAGUCAAGGAAAUACCAUACCCCGCCCCCGACCAGAACCUGCUGAUUCUGCCUUUAAAAUGCGUAAUUUACCCUUUAAAAAUAUAAAUGACAUAUUUAUUCAACAUCCUCAAAGUGGUUAAGGACAGGACUCUGCUAAAGGGUUCCAAUUAGGAACCAGCCAAAUAAGCAUAACUGUGAAAAAAUAUAUAUGGGGGGGGGGGGGAAUAGAUGACUGGAUGAGUCACAGUGAAUUAGAAAAAAGACUGGCAGCUGGUUGUGUAUGAAAGUCUACUUUGAAACUCUUUCCUAUUUCGCUCAACCAGAAUCCAAUCAGAGGUCAAAUCGGCAAGUGUGCUUUCCCAUUAAACUGAAGUGCAGUCAAGUUAAGAGCUUAGAAGGUUGGAUUUUAAAUGUUUGCUGUGGUUAGAAAAAAGCAAUCCUUUGAAUGUCAGAUGAAUAAGAAAUACGUGUGUGUGUGUGUGUGUGUGUGUGUGUGUGUGUGUAGAAGGGGCAAAAGAAUUUAGCAAACUCAAUAACAGGAUUUGGAAAUAAUAUUUAAUAAGGAGCUAUGAAUAAAGUUUGAGUCUGCAAGACAGAAGAGGGAAUCAGACAUUUAAACAUGAAAACCUCAAGGCAAUUUGAAGAUGACCAGUACUGCAUCUAUGAUGGGUGUGGUUUUGUUUUUUUAAUCCAUAUUUUUUCAGAGAUCUGUUUAAAUUCUUACACUGAACUGACUGAUCCACAACACAUUUCAAGAUGCAGAUGCCCACUGAGAGAGAGCAUCUCAGCUCUACACAUUUAUAUAAUUUGUGGAAGCAAAUGAAAAUAUCUGGAAAGGCAUCAACACUGUAGGAAAACACUUGAGGCCUGGUUCUGCUAUCAUUUACACACAUGUAUUCCAUUGACUUCCAGUUCCAUUACAUAUGUAUAAAUGGAGAUCAGAUGCUAGUAAGUAUCAUAGUUUUGACAGUCAUGGUAUCUGGGCAACACCGGGGUACGUCUAGAGGCUUUUUGUGGGGAAGGGGGUUGUUGCUGUUACCGAUAUUAGUUUUGUGCAUCUUUAUUUUAGAUCUUACUAAGAUUUACGCAGAACGUGAUUAAUUUGGUUGGGCGCUUUUUGACGUUUCAUUUAUAGUUUAUUAUGACUACUUGUGUUGUUUGUAAUUAUGUAAUUGUUUUUCGUGUUGUAAGCUGCAUUGAGCAUGGUUUUAACUAUGGAAAGGCGGCAUGCAAAUAAAAUGAUCUAUGCAAGACAGCAAGAGAUUGUUCCUGUCUGCUACUUCAGACUCAUUUUCCAUGUACUGUAUUUUCCAGUGUAUAAGACGACUGGGUGUAUAAGACGACCCCCCAACUUUUCCAGUUAAAAUAUAGAGUUUGGGAUAUACUCGCCGUAUAAGACUACCCCUCUUUCAACGCACACCAAAUAAAAAAUUAAAAAACCAGUCUCCAGUCUGGCUCAGAAAUCCGCUCCACUUCCCAGUGGCCGGGGGCUUCUGGGGCCAAUUUUCAAGCAUAUUUUUGCUUCAUCUAGAGAGCUUGGUGUCCUCUGAUUUAAUUUGCUGUCUUUUUAUCCUCUGGUGGGGAGUUGCUGCAGGAGCUGCUGCUGUAGCCGGCGUAUAAGACGACCCCCAACUUUUGAGAAGAUUUUCCUGGGUUAAAAAGUAGUCUUACAUGCCAGAAAAUACAGUAAAUUUUUUGCUCAGUUUUUGAGGCUGGAGUGGAGUUACUGAGCAGUCAGCUAUGGGCUGUUGUAAUACCUUAAUGAUGCAUUGCAGAGGGUUCAACAAGUUGAUCCUCGGGGUCCCUUCUAACUGUACUAACUAUGAUUCUAUGACUGUUAUAUGAUUGUUAGUGUGAGUAAGGCAGAUUUUGUGCUAUAUCACAAUAUGAGGGUUGUACAGAAGAAUGUUCUGGGGCAGGACGUUCCGUAAUUGUCCACGAAUGUCCACUUUUGGGUGGGAUAUUGGGAUUUUUCUGGGGUGACACAAGUUUUUGCACACUUCUUAGAAAGAAGUGAGCUAGAGCUCUGUGUGAAAAGAAUAGAGACAAAGGGGAUAAAGUUUGAGAGAAGUGAGAGUUGAGCCGGGAUCUGCUAGCUAAAAAUAUCUGGAGGUACUGGUGUGAUUUGGGACAGUGGAUUUCUUCCUUUGUAGGACCACUUGUGUGCUGUCUGUUUCCACUAAUGCUCAACUUGUUCCCAAUAUUACGUAAGAAUACAAGAAGAGCUCCAGACUAAUGGCUCAUCCAGUCCAACAUCCUGCUCUUACAGUGGCCAACCUCAUGCCUGUGGGGUGCCUACAAACAGGACCUGACUGUGAGGGGUGGAGGGUGUGGAAGGAGAACAUAGUGUGGUUAAUGGGAUCAUCUUAAUAGAUGGUCCUGGUUGCGGGCAGGCUCUCAACCUGGUUUCCCCCACCCUGGCAUGGGUGAAGCUAUCGCCCUCACGCCGGGGUGGCACCACAAUCACCCAGAGCUAUUGCCCAAUCAAGUCAAGGGUGAUAGUGGGGGAAAGUAUAAAAGCGGCAGCGCGACUUGUGCCAGGCUCCUGCUUCGUGCUUCCAAACACCCGCCCACCCUCCCUUUAAUUUAGAUCCUUUGGCCUUGCUUUGGACUUUGGUUGGUUGCCCGGCUUGAGUUGGGGGCCGAGUAGCAAUUUUUUCCAUUUGGCAAAUUGGCACGGGCCGCUUGGUUUUUGCCUACCUCUUAGCAAUCGUCACAACUUUGUAAGGUUGGCGGUUGUUGUUGUUUAGUCAUUUAGUCGUGUCUGACUCUUCGUGACCCCAUGGACCAGAGCACGCCAGGCACUCCUGUCUUCCACUGCCUCCUGCAGUUUGGUCAAACUCAUGCUGGUAGCUUCGAGAACACUGUCCAACCAUCUCGUCCUCUGUCGUCCCCUUCUCCUUGUGCCCUCCAUCUUUCCCAACAUCAGGGUCUUUUCCAGGGAGUCUUCUCUUCUCAUGAGGUGGCCAAAGUAUUGGAGCCUCAGCUUCACUAUCUGUCCUUCCAGUGAGCAGUUUGGCGGUUAGGCAUUGGCUUAUGGUGAAUGGGGGAGGGGAGGUCGGCCAUCACCUGCCCCUCCAUUUUCAAGGGUAUUCCGUUAAAGGAAGCCGGGGCCUGGUUCCUGUCCGAAGUCCGCUUGAAGGGUGAGGGCCAUGCCAGGCCUCUGGGAACACCAGGGGAGAUGCAGGCAGGUUCCCCCGAAGCCAUUUCCCUUUGGGUGGUUUACCCUUACAGACUUCCUGUAAAGGGGGCAGGUGUCAGAUAUAGUCUUGCCAAUGCCUAAGCCAAUGCCUCUCUCAUUCCUGUAAUCAAUAAAGUAGUGGCCAAAUUUUUGCCCAAAAACCUUAAACAAAAUAUCCGUAUCUGCGUGAAUUUAUUUAUCCUACCAUGCAAGUAGCUAUUGAUAGCCUUACCCUCCAAAGUGCCAUUCCAUCAGCCAAAAGCCAGCUCAGGUAAGCACUGCCCUUGAAAAUUCUCAGUGCUCAGGAAAUUGCAGAACAUGUAAAAGCACACAGAAAUGGAAAUAAGAGGCUUGCUUUCUGAGACUUUUCUGAAAUGAAUGUCUCAGAAGUCAGUGCCAUAAUAAUAUUCAUUUUCAGGGUGGCUUACUUAUAUUAAAAAAACCCACCCCCACACAAUUUAUUUCCUGAUUUGACUUUCAUCCUGACGGAAACUCCCUUUGUCAGCCACAUUGCAGCCAUUUCUUUGAUUAUCAGUUCUGAUAAAGAUGAACACAGAUGUUAACUGAAAUGCUUUUGGUUGGGUGUCAUUUUGUGUUGGAGAGCUUAUAAAAGGGGAAAACAUCUUAUUAAGAAAACCUGGUGGUGGUAUUUUUACAUUUCACAAGUAUACUGGGAGGGUAAAACACAUCAAACUCUAUGAAACAAGAAAGACUACAGAGUAUGGUGUGGUUUGGAGUGAAAAUUAUAAGCAACUUCAUUUCGUUCAACAGAAGAAAGAAUCUUGGCCUCCAAGCUCAUAGCUUCAUUUUCUAAAUUUAAAUGCCCUUUAGUUUAUGGUAAAUGUUAAAUACUUACAUUUAUAGUGGGAAGGAACAGGGCAAGGAACUCAUUCUUGCUAUUGCUAAUAAUUUAUUAUUUAUUCUUACAAAGUUUCGUCCUACUAGAAGUCCCGUUGUUUCCAAUGGGCUUUCUCUCAGGUAAAUGUUUCCUGGAGAGCAAAGUUCUGAUAUCCUUAUGGCCAGUGCUUUUUUCCUAAAAAAAUAUUUAGCAGUACUCUCAUUUUGACUCAAGAAAAUGACCAUUUUAUAGUUCAAAUCGGGGAAAAUAAAUACAGUAAAUGGACAAAAGUACAAAGAUUCACAAAAUGUUUAGGGGUAUGCGUACCCCUGCAUACACCCAGAAGAAAGCACUGAUUAUGGCUCCAUCUGCACUAUUCAUUUAAACCUGAAUCACACUACUUUUAACAGCCCUGGCUUCUCCUGAAGACUCCCAGAUACAGUGGUACCUCGGGUUACAAACACCUUGGGUUACAGACUCCGCUAACCCGGAAGUAGUACCUCGGGUUAAGAACUUUACCUCAGGAUGAGAACAGAAAUCACGAUGUGGCAGCGGGAGGCCCCAUUAACUAAAGCGGUACCUCAGGUUAAGAACGGUUUCAGGUUAAGAACGGACCUCCGGAACGAAUUAAGUUCGUAACCAGAGGUACCACUGUAGUGUAAUUUAUUAAGGAGACAGUUGUUAAGAGACCCAUAUUCCCCACAUGGAGCUACAGUUCUCAGAGUGGCUGAACAGUCAAUCCCUCUGUCCAGGGAACCCCCUUUUCUUUUUAAAUUAUCCCCUACUCAGAAGCAAAAAGCUAGCAAUUCCACCACUCCUCCUCCUUUCCCCUAUCUCUAUUUACACGCCACUGCCAGAAGUCCUCAGUGUGUGGCUCCUCAGGGUUCCCCUGCAAGUCUUGCAAAGCAACAUUGGGCUCAAUGCAUUCAAGCAAACACCCAUUUAAAUCAGUGUUAAAAGUCAGUCAUGACCUAAGUGCCAUUAAUUUUCAAUGGGAACUAAUUGCAAUCAGCUUGGCCUGGCCCUCACCCACCAUGACCUAAGCUGAUCUGCAUGGAUUUAUGUAGAAUUUCAAGAUGUCAAAAAUCCAGUCUUCAAGAGGUAUCAUUGAAAUGAUGCUUUCUCCCCUGGAAAAAAGAGAGAGAUCCAUAUGGCUGCAUGGAAAACAUCUAAUUUCAGAGAACAUAGAACAGAGCACAUCUCUAGGGCGAGCCAGCUAUAGGAAAUAGGAAACAAACAAAUAACACAAGAGAUGAGUGAUUCAGAGUCACUGACUCUUUUGUUUUAAAAAAAGAAAAAGAAAAAGCUUCAUUGAUCUCCCUGACAUAAACCAUCAUCUCAUGCCAAGGGGAAGUGCCAAAAACAAUAACAAAAUUGAGCAGGCAUUUAGCGAGAAAACAUAAAAGCAUUUUCCAAGGGAAUGUCAUACAAAUGUACACAUUCGCAUCGCUGUUCUGCCUAAGCCUCAGCGACCUUUGGAAAGUCACUUUAGGAUCGUCUGAAGGGAGAGCCUUUGCCAAAAUUACAUACGUUACUUGGGGUUAUACAGUAUGUUGCUCAUGUUUGCCCCCUGAAGAGGAAAGCGAUGUCUCCAGCAAGAUGUCUCUUUGAUGUGAGCGUUGCUGUUCCAAGCUGAGCUUGCCAGCUUUUGGUGCAGAAAGAUGACAUCUAACACUUGCUUGUCAAUAUGACAACCUCAGCACAAUGAAGGAACUGAGAGGUCGUGCCCCCAACGGGUCUGGGACCGAGCUGAACUUUAGAGAAUGACUGAAUCAAUGCCGUAAGACGAAACAGAAGUGCAAGUGUGUGAAAGAUAAAAAAGAUUUUUUUUAAUGUGGCCAUGUGCCUUACCACAUGACUUGAGAUGAAGAAGUUCGCAGAAUCGGUUUCUUGAACAAAGGCCAUUUCUAUUCCUUCCUUUUUGAAAGCACUUUACAUUAUUUAAUUAGCCAGCUUUUCAUCUCAUGCUUCUUUUUGUGUGCGUAUUGUAAUGUAUGUAAAUGAAAAAGUAACCACAACUGAGCCAAUGGGAAAUUACAUGCUAGUUUUGAUCAGGAUGAGAGUUGGGUGCCUAUUUGACCACAUUCUAUUUCCAUUCACAGUCAUCAAAAGCAGAAAGAGUCUGGCUAUGGCUAGCCUUGCUCUGGUAAGCCUCCCGCUAGACUACUGCAGUGCAUUGUACAUAGGGCUGCCUUUAAUGACUGUUCAGAAAAGAUAGUUAAUCCAAAAUGCAGCUGCUAGGUUUGUAACUGGCCAAUGGGUGAACAGAACAUAUUACUCCAGUGCUGAAAGAAUUGCACUGUUGCUGGUUCAGGUUCAAGCACAAUUCAAAGUGUCCCAAGCUUACCACUGAAGUUUUAAAGCAUGACUUGAAACCAGGUCCCACCAGCAACGUACCAGCAGGAUCUUGUGUUGUGCUAUGCUCUGGAGGCAUUCUUUACAGUGACCCUACAGAAUAAUAUAGGACCUUGAUAAAGAGAGAGCAGCUAUUCUCUGUGGUAGGCAUACCAAGGACAGAGUUUCUUUAUAAUGGCCAGAUUGUUCUGUUGCUCUAAGUCCUUCAGACGCUGUCCAAUUAGCCUUUUUGCUUUAAUAAAGCACAUCGUGAGAAGCUGAUGUGUUGCUAUGGCCAUUGGCUAAUGCGAAUAAAGUUUAUCUAUCUAUCUAUCUAUCUAUCUAUCUAUCUCUGUGGUAGGCACCCGACAUCUAUGGAACUCUCUUUCCUCAGAUGUUUGUCUUUUCUGCACCAGGCAUAGACUUAAUCUUUUGUAACAUGGCACCAUGUGCAAGGCAAAAAUUUGGUGCCCCUCCCCCAAUGGAUCUUCUCAGAUAUGUAUCUUCUCAAUUUUGUGCCCCCUCGGCUUGGCACCCUGUGUGGUGGAACCGCUGCUCGUGACCCUAAAUCCAGAGCUGAUUUAUUUAUCUUCCCCAGACUUUUUAACAUCCAGUGUGAUCUAAGCACCAGCUUGGCAUUGCAUUUUGAGGCUCCCCCCCCCCGUGCUUCUCAAAUUAGCUGCUCUUCGGCUUUCUGGUUUAAGAGAUUAAAGUUGAUAUGCUGUGGAUUUUGCUGUGCACUUCUCCUAUGGAAAAACGAAACAACUUACACUCUGAUUAAAGGAAAUAACAGGAACCUUAGAUCAGCUCGUGUGUUCUUUUUUCCUCCUUUAUUUUUUAGACAAUAAAAACUCGUUCACUUUUGGCUUGCAUUAACUACUGGUCAUUUUCCAGUCACAAAUUAUUUUUCAGCCCAGGGCUGAUUCAGAGCAAGUAGAAUGUGACAUUUCGGCCCAUAGCUUAAUUUUUUGAUACUUUAAUAGAAUAAGAAAGCUCUGGGUGGGAUUUAUUUGUGGUUCCCAAAGUGGAACGCUGGUUGGCAAACUGAAGAUCCUCAAAUUGACUUUUGGCAAACCGAAGAUCUUCAGUUCACAUCAAAAUGGCAGACUUCCUUGGGUUACUACCAUUCAACUAGCAGAUAAAUAGAGCAGAACCUCCAUGAUAUACACUUCAUUUAUGCUCAGGACCUUGAGCAUUGUUCUAGUGUUAGCCUAGUUCUCACAAACCAUAGAUGAGGUGUUAAUGCUGUGUGUGAAUUGUACCAUUUUAGACUAUGGCCCCAUCUUCUCGCUAUAUUUAAAUUAGAAUCAUACCACCUUAAACAGUCAUGGUUUUCCCCAAAGAAUCCUGGGAACUUUAGAUUAUUAAAUUUGCUGAGAGUUGUUAGGACACCCCUAUUCCCUUCAGAGUUCCCUGGUAAGAGGGAUUGGCAGUUAAAUCUGCUUCUGCCUGGGGUAGAUCUUGAACCCAUAGGUUCCCUUCUCCAGGUCACCAGAGCCCCCUCCUCUAAUAGCAGGAGGUCUGAAUCUUGGGCCAUGACACCAGUGGAGGAAUGGCUCAUGCUAAUGAAGAGAAUAUACUAUAUCAUCUAUCUAUCAUCUAUCUAUCUAUCUAUCUAUCUAUCUAUCUAUCUAUCUAUCUAUAUCAUCUAUCAUCUAUCAUCUAUCUAUAGCUAUCUAUCUAUCUAUCUAUCUAUCUAUCUAUCUAUCAUCUAUCUAUCUAUCUAUCUAUCUAUCUAUCUAUCUAUAUAUCUAUCAUCUAUCUAUCUAUCAUCUAUCUAUCAUCUAUCUAUCUAUCAUCUAUCUAUCAUCUAUCUAUCUAUCUAUCAUCUAUCAUCUAUCAUCUAUCAUCUAUCAUGUAUCGUCUAUCAUCUAUCAUCUAUCAUCUAUCUAUAUCUAUCUAUCUCUAUCUAUCUCUUAUCUAUCUAUCAUCUAUCAUCUAUCUAUCUAUCUAUCUAUCUAUCUAUCUAUUUAUCUAUCUAUCUAUCAUCUAUCUAUCUAUCUAUCUAUCUAUCUAUCAUCUAUCUAUCAUCCAUCAUCUAUCUAUCUAUCUAUCUAUCUAUCUAUCUAUCAUCUAUCUAUCUAUCAUCUAUCUAUCAUCUAUACCCAACUUUUCUUUUAUUUUUAAAGACCCCAGAGUGGUUCAGAGUAAGAACAACACUUCCAUUUUUCUUUCUUUCAAAAAGGCAAGUUCAUCUCCAUUUCACAAUAUAUAAUGGGAAGAAUAGAGGAAGUAGACAUACUAGACAGCAGAGCAGCAACAUUGUCUGUCCAGGAAUCUUCCCCUUCUCAAGUGAUCAGAAGGCAUGAUUAAAAAGAAGAAGAAGAGAGAUUUUAUCCACUACUGGUGAUUAUGUUAGAAAUUCCUAGAGGUAAACAGUAAAAGUCAUAUAUGAAAUAUUAUAACAACAACAACAAUAUCUUCAAAGAAAGACAGUGGUUAGAAUUUAGAGUAUUCUUGCUAAUAUUGAAAGGAAUGCUAUCUAAUGCAAGAGAAGAGGCCUUAUUUCAUAUGUGAGUCCUGGAAGACCUGCUCCCUGCCUUGCAGACCUUUUCCUACCUGACCUUGACUGACCCCAGCUACAAAAGCUGAGGAUUAUGGUUUUCUGUUGGUGGUGGGGUUGUUGCUGCUAUCAAUAUUAAUUUUUUGUAUCUUUACUUUAGAUCUCAUGCAUAUACUGAUGUACAGUGUGCAAAUAAAAUGAAUACGCUAGUGAAAGUAACCUAUAAGAAUGCAUUAUGUAAGGGGGGACUUGCUUUGCCAAAAAAGUGCACAUUAGGCAAAGUUUCACACAAAAAUGCCAAUAUUGGGAGAAAUUCACUCUAACAUGCUGAUUUAUUUCCAUGAUUUUUUUUCCCUUCAAAGAUCCACCAAUGUGGAAUUGAUGUGGAGAACAGAAGUUAAGAUUGGAAAAAUGAGAAACUGUGGGAAACAGAAAUGGUCAGUUAUGCCCACCCCCAGUUUAGAUGAGUGGUGAUAUGGGGAGGAGGACAAACCCUGGUACAUACACACACACACACACACACACACACACACACACAUACCCGCUGCAAUGAGCAAUACCAAUGAGGUCCACUUCCCCACCAUCUUAAUCUCCACCCUCUCCCUGAGACAAAUUAAGGAAGGGUUAAGGAAUGCUUUUGAUAACGUAGAUGGACACAUGACGUCCCACCUUUUAUGCUCAUAAUGAGUUAUUACCUUGUCUUUUUUAUUGCUUAAUCUUUAAUCAUUUUAUGCCACUAUAUCGGUGAAACACUGCUCAUUUGUCCCUAUGCAACAUUCUACCUUUUUCCUGCCUUCAAACUCCACCUCCCCUCCAAUGGUAUUUGAGGGGCAGUGCUCAGGGAGGGAGGAAGAAUUAAAAUGUGACACCAGAGGGUGGAGCAAAGCAACCGCCCACCAGCAGCAGGGAAAGAAACAGCAUUUUGGAAGAUGGUGUGGCUGGACAUUACUUACAUUUGACGGGAAAAAACCAAGAUAAAAAAGGUUUUAAUUCACAAGUAUGCCCUGUGGCAUUUUAGAACGACAUAUCUAAUAUUGUUCUGACAGGGGGAAAUAACAUUAGACAGGUCAGUGUAGAUCCCGCCCAAGAGCCAAAGGGUUUUAUUUUCUCUUCUGGAAGUCCAUCAAAAGCUGCAUAUCUAUAUAUAAAUUAGCCUUGGCAUAUUGUAUGCAAAUCUGUGUCCCCCAAGCCUUUUAAGUUGUUUCCAGUGCACAUUUAGAGAUGCUGAUGAUCGAGACAGGUGUGCUUUCGUAAAUGAUCCAUCCAUUAGAAGUAAAUCAAACUUUUUCUCAUGCGCUGAGGCUGUGAACUCUGCAUAUCUUGUGCUUGUUGUUGGUUUGGCGUGGGGCUUUCUGUACAUGAUUGACUGAAGUGGUUCUUUCCCUUUCCACAAUUCCCAAUUGUGUCUUAAAGAUAACCGGGUAACAUUACACUUGCAGUGACUCAGAGCGUAAGCAAAGGUCUAUUUGCUUUUCGAGAAAAUGUGCAGCAGGAAAAAAAAGACAAUUGCUUCAGACCACACACAGCCUCAGCAUCUCUCUGUUAUGUAUACCUGGCAUUGAAAGCAACUCAAAUCGUGGCUGAAUCCAUUUGCUGCACUGCAUUUGAAGGUUGUUUAAAAUACGUAAUUGAAACAGUCAUGCUGAGAAACCAUACUAGGCAUGGUUUUUAUCUCUUGUAAAAUAAAAAUAAAAACAUACCCAAAGACAUCUGGCUGCAAUGUCAUGUGUAUCUGUUUAAUUCUGAUACACAAAUCUCUGCUCCUCGUUGGCUAGUGGAAAAGCGUGGAAUUCGCCUUCAACACAGAGCAAAGCAUAGCUAGAAAGGGUCUUUCAGAGGGAGGACUUCUUGAUUGCAUAACUACAGCUUGAACAACAAGUGACUCUAGGAAGCUCUCGUGAACAGGGUGGGGCUUUCCCCUCUGACCUCAGAGUUAGAGAACUGCAGGUUAGUCAAGGUCAUUGAUCAGAAACAAAGCAUUUGCUCUGCACACAGAAGGCACCAGGUUCAAUCUUCAGCAUCACUCACCAGGGAGGGCUGGAAAUGUUCCCUGCUGGAAAUCCUAGAUCAGGGGUCAGCAACCCUUUUCAGCCGUGGGCCGAUCCACUGUCCCUAUGAACAAAUUCCUAUGCCCCACAAAUAACCCAGAGAUGCAUUUUAAAUAAAAGGACCCAUUCUACUCAUGUAAAACACGCUGAUUCCCGGACCAUCUGCGGGCCGGAUUGAGAAGGCGAUUGGGCCGCAUCCGGCCCAUGGGCCUUAGGUUGCCUACCCCUGUCCUAGAUAGCCACCGCUGCCAGUCAUUGCAGACAAUAUGGAGUUAGAUGAACCAAUGGUCUGACAUGGUAUAGGGCAGAUACAUUCCUGGGUUCCAUCAUAAUUUUGCCCCCCUCUGCCAGCUGUUUGCUCCAAGGCAAGAAGAUGGAUGAUGUCCUCCUUUGCCUCCAUCAACCCUUCAGAGCAGAUGGGGGCAGGGACUAGAACUUGCAAAUUCCUGUUGCAAUGCCUUUGUUGGAUUCAACCCUACAUUUCUAGGGUCUCUAACAUGGCACCUGAGGUCACCAUGCUUCAGCAAUUUGAUAAUUGCCAAGACCCUUUGCCUCUCCUAGAUUUCUUUUAAAUUAGAUCUUUUCCACUGAUUCUGGAGCAGAUUGUCUUCUUCUUUUUGUCUGUGUUUUAUUUGUAUUUUGGGGGUCUGCAGCCGCUUUGCCAGUCUUGGGGAUGUUCUGAGCUUCGCCAGUUUUUCUUCUGUGAAAGGGUUCUUUUGUAGUAGCCACAACAGUUUCUUAGAUAGAAAGGUUGGGAACCCCUGCUUUAUUUUAUUUCCCCAAAAUUUCAUAGCACUCAACAUAUAAAUACCAAAAUGGUGCACAAUUUGAAAACCUAAAACCCAGUAUAGCACAUACAAAAUAAAAUGCAAGAUAUACAGUGAACGGUUAUCAGCAGUGUAGACACACGCUGAGGAACUAACUAAGCUGUGUAGCGAGAUAAGUCUUGAUCAAGCACCUAAAACAUAAUACGGUAGGCAUUUCCCAAAUGUCCAAAGGCAGAGAUUUCCAUAGAGUUGGUACAGCAUGCUGAAGGCCCAGUGAUUAUGGAGGAGACUUUGGGAACACAUGCCGUAGUAAAAAAUGCAACUCUUGAAGACCACAGUGACUGGAGAAGUGGGAAGGAAGAAGGUGGUCCCUCAAUUAGGCUAGUCCUAAGUAGCAGCAAUGUUAUUUGCCCAUGAAAAAUGCAUUUUUUAAAAAAUUGUAUUUUGAUGAAGUAAUAAUCAUAAAUAAAUCAGAAUUAAAAUGUGCACCCCACCACUGAGACCAUUCCAUUGUAACUACCCAACCUCCCAAAACUUCAACACCUCUUGUGAUGGUUUGACCCCUUUCCAUUUUAUCAGUAUGAAUUCUACAAACACCCUCCACAUCUCCACAAAAUCAUUUCUCCUGCAUGUUCCCCAUCUUACCUUAAUGGCACAUAUUAAUUUAUCAUUAAUAGCUAUAUCCCACAUCUCUUUAUACCAUUCUUCCAUUUUAUAUUCUGCUUGCCCCUUCCACUUCCUAGGUAUAAUAUUGUGUGCAGCUGUCAAUGAAUUUGUGAGCAAGUCCUUUGUAGCCUGUGAACCUUCCACCCCAUUGUAAAUUGAUAAUAAUGAUACCUCUGAAAAAUGUAUCUUGAUAAGGUCACCUGAGGUGAAGCAUAUGAAACUUAUAGUUGGUGGGGUUUUUUAUAUAUAUAAAAAAUCAUGUGCAGUAUAUAAAGUAUACAGAAUGUUUUACACCACCAGUGGCUUUGAAACUGGUUUUCCCUUUAAAAAACCAAAAAAAAUCCCACAACAGUAGAAAUUAACUUUGUUGUAGCAGUGAAUGUACAUAAUGUUAAACAGCAUUCAUCUAUAUAGCAUUUUUAAACACACAUAGACAUAUAAAACCUGGGUUUUGCCCUUCAAGUUGUGCCUUUGAGGAUACAAAUUGAAUUUCCUGAUUGCAAAUGGCAAACUCUGCUAUUACAUACUUUGUGAUUUCAGAAAGCAUCUGUCAUCACACAAAGACAAAUACAUUUCUCAAAGAAACAUCUGGUGCUUUUUAAAACAAGCCUCAGGCCAGGUCUGUGCAAUGAAUGAAGUAUGUACUAUAGAUAGAGUGUUAUUUAGUGCUGCCUUUCAUUUAAUCAACUGUGCGUGGAAUUUUUGCAUUGAGUUAAAUAUCUCUGAAAUAUUGGCUCUCAAGAGAUUCUUGAUAAUAUAGAUAUAAAUAUAUUAAGAUGAUGCCUUUAGGAUGACAACCAAGAGCAGUAAAUAAACUCGACUUCUUUUAUUGAGCCUCUUUCAGCAAAAGGCAAGAAAAGUAUUUUUACUUUAGGAAUUAGAAGACCAUUCAGCCAAGCAUUCAAACCCCAGCUAAUGCAAUAUUCUCAGUAUCAAAUCUGAAACACAAAACCAUUAGCCCCAGCUGGCAUAAGAGAUGUUCCCACCCUGUACAUACAGCUGUCCUCUUACUCUGUUACCAAAAGAACAGAAUUUGAUAUAACAUGCCUGUCAUUUUCUAACCUGUCACUGGUGUGGGAUCUUUACUACUGGGCCACCUGCUCUCUCUCUCAAGCCUUCUCUGUGAUGUCCUCAUCCCCCCCGCCCCACAAUAUUCCCAUUUUAGGAAAAGUUGGUGGCCUUCAUAAAUGGUGCAGCUGAGCUGCGGGAAGGAAUAGACUUCCAAAAGGCUUGUGCACGAUUCACAAAAUGUAUAAGGGAACUGGAUAAGAUCCAAGUGAAGGAAGCAAUGCAGAGUGAUGAGAGAAAUGCAAUGCCAUGCUUAAAUAGAAGCCAAAUGAACAUAGUACAACAUCUUUCCAAAUGUCAUCAGGUGGUUUGGCUUAACUCCAUAUUGACUUACAGAGUCUCAGGCUACCCAGUGUUUUAAAUGUGAACCUUAACAUUUGGGUUUUGGCUUCGAAAUAUGCUGGAAAUAUUUGUUUCACCCUAUACAGUGGUACCUCGGUUUUCGAACAGUUUAGUUCACGAACAACUUGGAACCCGAACGCUGCAAAACCAGAAGUAGGUGUUCCGGUUUUCAAACUUUUUUUUGGAAGCAGAACGUGCUCUGUUUUGAGUUCCCUUGUGUUUCCUGUUGCACUGCUAAUUUGUGUCUCUCCCCCCCAUUGUAAUUCUGCCAAAGUUCUUUUCCUGUUCUGUGUGCGGAAAAGAAAGCGUGGUAUAAAUUGUUAAUUGUUUGACAUGUGGGGAAGGGCAGAAGCUCAUCAGUAGAGCAUCUGCUUUGCAUACAGAAGUUUCCAGGUAAAAUCCAGGUGCUGGUAGGCUGUGAUCCUAGACACAUGUAUCUGGGACUAAGUCCCAUUGAUUUCAAUGUGGGCAUUCAGUGCAAGAUAAGGGCAAGGUUUUAAAAAGCUUUAGGAAUAGCUGAGGUUCUUUAAAAGAGAGAGAGUUGGUGAUUUCAGUGGCUCUACUCUGAGUAUGAAUUAGUUGGAUAAAAUCCAUUGCCAUCUUCCACACAAAGGAGAGAAGGUAGAAACAGACAAUGAUAUUAUAUGUGCAAGGCAGUGACACUGAAGCCACUUUCUUCUCCUUGUUUCUGUCCCACAGGUCUCAUUCAACGUCAUUAUGCCACCAUGAUUCCUUGUCAGAAAGCAGAUGAGAUUGAUUACAGCAAAUGUGACAAUGAUCAAAGCUGGUUGGUUUUUGUAACUCCCUUCUCACCUAGGGUUGCCAUAUUUCAAAAAGUGAAAAUCCGGAC